rnacentral:rRNA from 1 species
AUUGAACGCUGGCGGCAGGCCUAACACAUGCAAGUCGAGCGGCAGCGGGGAGUAGCUUGCUACUUUGCCGGCGAGCGGCGGACGGGUGAGUAAUGUCUGGGAAACUGCCUGAUGGAGGGGGAUAACUACUGGAAACGGUAGCUAAUACCGCAUAACGUCGCAAGACCAAAGAGGGGGACCUUCGGGCCUCUUGCCAUCAGAUGUGCCCAGAUGGGAUUGGCUAGUAGGUGGGGUAACGGCUCACCUAGGCGACGAUCCCUAGCUGGUCUGAGAGGAUGACCAGCCACACUGGAACUGAGACACGGUCCAGACUCCUACGGGAGGCAGCAGUGGGGAAUAUUGCACAAUGGGCGCAAGCCUGAUGCAGCCAUGCCGCGUGUAUGAAGAAGGCCUUCGGGUUGUAAAGUACUUUCAGCGGGGAGGAAGGUGUUGAGGUUAAUAACCUCAGCAAUUGACGUUACCCGCAGAAGAAGCACCGGCUAACUCCGUGCCAGCCGCCGCGGUAA